AGACUCCAGGUCUCUGCCCAGACAUGACAGUAAAGACAGAGAUGGACAGUCAAGUCCAGUUUCCAGCAGGAUGGGGAGAUCGUCUGUCAGCCCCACAAUGAUGCUGUCUGGAGGAGGAGGUGGAGGAGGAGGAGGAGAAUCAAAGUUGGUGUGUAAACUCGGCCGUUCAGCCUCAACGUCAGGAGUUCCUUCACCAGGUGGGACGCCACGUCACCUGCAUGAGCCGCAUCACCCCGCCCUCAGCCAGGAUUCAACUUCACUGAACAACAGAACAUAAAACUAUUUUACAGGCGGACAGAAGCUUCGAUCCAUCAGCUGACUGACAUCUGACAUGUAAACAUGUCAACAAGGAAACAUGUAAACAAAGUGUUUUCUUUACUUCCUUCAAAGGACAUUUUCUAAUUUGACUUUUGUGUAAAAUAUUUGUUGUUUAAAUGAAAUGUUUUUUGUAUUGUGUCUCAACACAGACACUAGAAGGAAUCUGAAGAUAUAAACAGUAAAGUAAUACUGAAGUAAUACUGAUACUAACAAAGUUUAAUUAUUGAUACUAACAUUAAACUAACUUUACACUAACAUUAAACAAAUGCUGACUGAACUCAUACUGACACACUUUAAUACAUUCAAUCUCAUUAAAACUUCAUCACUUACAAAUUAUUUACACGCUAAUCUCACCUAACUAUACCAUAUAUGAAAAUAAACACUCACGCUGCUCCCAUGCUACUCUAAAGCCUAACCCAUCGCAAUGUAACCCCACCUCAGCCAGCUGACUGAGAUUCUUUUACAUUUCAGAGAAUUCACUCAUGUUUCAAGCACGUUGUUGUUUGUUGUUCUGUUUUUUAAAUGAAAAAGGCUUUUUAAACUCCCAGGUUGUAAAGCUGUAGAUUUGUAUGUGUAACGUUGUGUGUAAAUAUUUGCUAUGGAGGAGAAAAUAUUUUA